GCAGUGCUAUUUCAGUGGUAGAAUUUUUACCUUCCACGCAGGAGACCCAGGUUCAAUUCCUGGUCGACGUA
rnacentral:tRNA from 1 species